GCCCUAAUGCAGCCGGAGGCGGUCACAAGCCCGCAAAAUGCAGAGUGGGGU
rnacentral:ribozyme from 2 species